rnacentral:piRNA from 1 species
UUCGAUUUUGAGAAAACUGGC